UUGCGUAGGUGGCAUGGUAAGUUGAUAGUGAAAGCGUCCGGCUCAACCGGAUAUACAUUAUCAAAACUGCCAAGCUAGAGGACGAGAGAGGUUAUUGGAAUUCCUAGUGUAGGAGUGAAAUCCGUAGAUAUUAGGAGGAACACCGAUGGCGUAGGCAGAUAACUGGCUCGUUCCUGACACUAAGGCACGAAAGCAUGGGUAGCAAACG
rnacentral:rRNA from 1 species